UACGUAGGGGGCAAGCGUUGUCCGGAAUUAUUGGGCGUAAAGAGCGCGUAGGCGGUCCGAUAAGUCGGCUGUGAAAGUCAAGGGCUCAACCCUUGAAAGCCGGCCGAUACUGUCGGACUAGAGUCCGGAAGAGGCAAGUGGAAUUCCCGGUGUAGCGGUGAAAUGCGCAGAUAUCGGGAGGAACACCAGUGGCGAAGGCGGCUUCCUGGACCAGAGCUGACACUGAGGCGCGAAAGCGUGGGGAGCGAUCCGG
rnacentral:rRNA from 1 species